GAGUUUGAUCCUGGCUCAGGAUGAACGCUAGCGGCAGGCUUAAUACAUGCAAGUCGAACGGGAUUCAGAUUAGCAAUAAUUUGAUGAGAGUGGCGCACGGGUGCGUAACACGUAUGCAACCUACCUUUAACUGGUGAAUAGCCCCGGGAAAUCGGGAUUAAUACACCAUAACAUUACUAAAAGGCAUCUUUUGGCAAUUAAAGAACUUCGGUUAGAGAUGGGCAUGCGGGACAUUAGCUAGUUGGUGAGGUAACGGCUCACCAAGGCGACGAUGUCUAGGGGUCCUGAGAGGGUUAUCCCCCACACUGGUACUGAGACACGGACCAGACUCCUACGGGAGGCAGCAGUAAGGAAUAUUGGUCAAUGGGCGCAAGCCUGAACCAGCCAUGCCGCGUGCAGGAAGACGGCCCUAUGGGUUGUAAACUGCUUUUGUCAGGGAAUAAAUGUAGGUACGUGUACUUACUUGAAGGUACCUGAAGAAUAAGCAUCGGCUAACUCCGUGCCAGCAGCCGCGGUAAUACGGAGGAUGCAAGCGUUAUCCGGAUUCAUUGGGUUUAAAGGGUGCGCAGGCGGAUUGGUAAGUCAGGGGUGAAAUCCCACAGCUCAACUGUGGAACUGCCUUUGAUACUGUCAGUCUAGAGUAUAGUUGAAGUUGGCGGAAUGUGUCAUGUAGCGGUGAAAUGCUUAGAUAUGACACAGAACACCGAUCGCGAAGGCAGCUAGCUAAGCUAUAACUGACGCUCAUGCACGAAAGCGUGGGGAUCAAACAGGAUUAGAUACCCUGGUAGUCCACGCUGUAAACGAUGAUUACUCGAUGUUGGCGAUACACAGUCAGCGUCUGAGCGAAAGCAAUAAGUAAUCCACCUGGGGAGUACGAUCGCAAGAUUGAAACUCAAGGAA
rnacentral:rRNA from 1 species